rnacentral:piRNA from 1 species
UCCGACAUCGUUGACCAUCUC